rnacentral:rRNA from 1 species
UACGUAGGGCGCAAGCGUUGUCCGGAAUUAUUGGGCGUAAAGAGCUCGUAGGUGGUUUGUUACGUCUGCUGUGAAAGUUCAGGGCUCAACCCUGAAAUGCCGGUGGAAACUGUCGAGCUAGAGUACGGAAGAGGUGAGUGGAAUUCCUGGUGUAGCGGUGAAAUGCGCAGAUAUCAGGAGGAACACCGGUGGCGAAGGCGGGUCUCUGGGCCGAUACUGACACUGAGGAGCGAAAGCGUGGGGAGCGAACAGG